rnacentral:rRNA from 1 species
AGCGCACCCCUAUCCUUAUUUGCCAGCGCAUAAUGGCGGGAACUAUAAGGAGACUGCCGGUCAUAAACCGGAGGAAGGCGGGGACGACGUCAAGUCGUCAUGGCCCUUAUGGGUAGGGCUACACACGUGAUACAAUGGGUGGUACAGAGGGUCGCCAAAGCGCGAGCUGGAGCCAAACCCUUAAAACCAUUCUUAGUCCGGAUUGGAGUCUGCAACUCGACUCCAUGAAGUCGGAAUCGCUAGUAAUCGCGAAUCAGAAUGUCGCGGUGAAUACGUUCUCGGGCCUUGUACACACCGCCCGUCACGUCAUGGAAGUGGGUUGCACCAGAAGUGGCUUGUUUAACCUUCGGGAAAACGGUCACCACGGUGUGAUUCACAACUGGGACGAAGUCGUAACAAGGUAGCCCUAGGGGAACCUGGGGCUGGAUCA